AUCCUUGAGUUUUCUCACUUUUACCCUCCCUAUAUCUGCCUGCCUCCAUCCUUCUGAGGUGGGGGGGAGUAAGCAACCAAUGGUGUGGUGCUUAGUUGCUCUCUGAGUUUAAGCCAUGACACUCUUACUUUUCUUGUGCCUGUCACAUUUAGUGCUUGAGCAAUCUUGUGAACUACUACUUUUUGACUGGCAUAAUUUUUCCUCUUUCUGGCAGGGAAAAAACUUUGGUGGCACAGUUUUCAAGGCCACUAGAAUAUAUAAUCAACCUUCUUACUGGUAUGAGAGGUACCAGUAAGACUUUUUACAUGUUUAGUGCACACAAAGCAAGCCUCCUUAAGUAGUGAAACCUACAGUCCACCUACAGAAACACAGAGGGAUUCUACUAAGCAGCAGUAUAAUUCUUACACUACAAGAUUCAGCAAUUAUCACAGGUAUCUACAUUUAAUAUAGCAGCUCAUUGCUAAGUGUUAUUUAAAUUACUUUGAUACACUUCAUUAGUCAACCUAAACUUCAAUAGUUAACCAGAGUGGCAGAACAGGAUGAAGCAGCUAUUUCAAACAUUCAUUUAGGCCCUCAGGUAUAUUAGCUGUCUACAACACAAUUAAGUGUUCUGGAAACUUACUUUAUAAAUAAUGAUGAAUAGUAUUCAGAUGUCAAAGUUCCAUGCAACUCUAGACUAGACUACUUUUUUCUUGGGAAAUAAUUUGUGCACUACCCUGAGAAUAUGCAAUACAUUCCAAGCACAUGCCAAAUGUGACCAUUUCCCACAGAAGUAUAGGAGAACUGCUCUGUCUAAGGCUCCUAUUGCAGUAGUGACAGUUCAAAACCACUGAAUAGCAUCAGAUUAUUUAAAUACUUAGCUUAACUUCAACUCUCAUAGUCCACAACACACAAUUCAGGUACAAAAAUAUAUUCUCUGGGCCAUAUACUCCACCUGGAAGAACUAGUGAUGGGGAAAAUCUAUUAUUUUAUAAAGUCCCAAAACAUUUUUUUUCACCUUUGCUAGCAUGAGAAUAAUCCUCAGCUGACUUCCUGUGGUGUUACAGAACAGUGUGGGAGGUGAUAGCAACAGUAAUUAACUGUUGAGCAACACAAGACACUCCCUUCUAACUGCCACAAAACAUGAGAACUUGAUAUUCUUAACAUACACCUACUCUCUGAUGUAUCUUUUAUCACAGCAAACAUGGGCUCCCCAAACAGCUACGUUCAUUGUGUCCUUUGACACAGUGUACCUACAGAAAAUAGAGAAGACGUAUAUCAACAAAGCUCCAUCCAUCCAGGCUCCCCCCUUUCUUCAAAUGGCAAGGACAUGUUAAAGAUCCAUCAUACAGAUCAAGAUACAUUUGUGUGGAUGAAAUGAAAAUACUGCAGGCAGGCAUUAAUAGCUACACUUCUUGCAGAGGACAUCCUGCACUACUAACAGAGAGGAUUAAGAAUCAGCAUUAAAUUUUAUAUACAAAUAGAA